rnacentral:rRNA from 1 species
UACGUAGGGUGCGAGCGUUGUCCGGAAUUAUUGGGCGUAAAGAGCUCGUAGGCGGUCUGUCGCGUCGGUCGUGAAAACUUGGGGCUUAACCCUGAGCUUGCGGUCGAUACGGGCAUGACUGGAGUUCGGCAGGGGAGACUGGAAUUCCUGGUGUAGCGGUGAAAUGCGCAGAUAUCAGGAGGAACACCGAUGGCGAAGGCAGGUCUCUGGGCCACUACUGACGCUGAGAAGCGAAAGCAUGGGGAGCGAACAGG